rnacentral:lncRNA from 1 species
GUGAGGGGAAAAACAAACAAAACCGAAAGCAAACAAACAAACAAAACUGAAAUCACCAAGCUGUUGCAUGGAUUGAGCAGUUAUGAUGGGAAUAGGAUGGAUGUCCUUAAUUGCCAUCUCAGUAACUCAAAUCUUUCUGGUUUUCUUUUCCAGGUGUGGCAGGCAGCACAGAAUUGCAUCCAAACAACUUGCCCCAUGUCACACACCGUGCUGAGCACAAAGGCUGCAUCAUGCCUGAUUUACAGCACACACAGGAAACGACCAAAUAAUUUGGAAGUAUUGCAGAGUUGCUCUGUGCAAAAUUGGUUUGAAGUGAGGAGACUAGUUAUAGUUGCCUGAAAAACAGCAGAGAAGAAAAGAACAAUUAAAAGAGAAUAACGUGCCAAAGGACUUGAAUGUUCUGUUUUGCCUCUGAUAGGUGGGAUCUAAUGCACGCUUGCUGUAGAAACAAUCUUGUUUUUCAUCAGUUAAAAAUUAACUAGUGUUCCAAGAAGAAUGUUACUUUUCAGAUUUUCUGCUCCUCUCCCUCACUGAAGUCUUGCCUUGAGACUUGGUAGGAAUACCUCAAAGCAGUUGAGUGCAAUAAUGCUGGAUUAUUUAUUUUGGAUCUGUUUAAAUUUCACAGCAAGUGCUCACUUGCUUCAUUAGAAUGUGAAACUCUUAUUCCAAGGAUCAGAUCUUCAGCUUUUUAUGUUUUGAGGUUGACCACUUUAUUAAAAGCAAUACAAGUACCAAAAAUCUUACCUAUUAAAUCCUGGCAGUAGGAACAUUUCUGUUGUUUAUAGUUAGGUACCACCUAAGAAUUCCAGAGAUAAGGGCUGGAAAAUGUACAACCUCUAUUACACACAAAACAUGUUAACUUAUAAUUAGCACACAGAAAAUCUGAUUUCACUUUUUACAGUUUUCCUUAGAACAAAGUUAUUGCUAAAGUUAAAUAGCUACGGUAAAUUGAAUAGCUAUGUUAUACUGAAUCUCUGGACUUGUUUGUCAAGACGUUUAUUUGGAAGAAUAUAAUUCAACUUGCUAACUGAAUUUUGAGAUUGAAAAUUUUCGCUAUGUUGAAGAGUAGGAAGGAGCCAAAGGUACAACUGAACACACUUCAUUCCACACCUACCAUGAUAAUAUUGUAUUAAGACAUGACUGCAGGAGUGAAAACUGAGCAGCUAUGAUAAAGAAUACAAGUUCCCAUGUAUGUAGGAAAUUUUAGAGUUAUAGGCAAUACUUUCUGAGUAUUUGCUAGCAAUGAGACACCAGAUGAAUAGCCCUUAAUACAUAACUCGUAGCUAUAACUAAUAUCUGCAACUUGGGCACUGGAUGAUAAAUGAAGCCACUGAUUUAAGGGAUUGUGCAUUGCUGCAUCCUGCAUCCUUUGUGACUGUGUCUUAUAGAUGUAACUGAAAUCGGUUCCUUGAUUUUCGUCUUUAACAUCAAGAUUCUGUGAAAAUUUCUGCAAAUGCCAUAAGAGUCUUCCACCACCAUGUGUCACCAAGAUGGGUGAUGGCCCUAGGGCCAAGCCAGAAUCCCAAAGCCCAAAACUCAUUGAGUCUGAGGGCUGACAUGUUGGUCUGGAAAGUAGCCACCUAUGGAUUCCAGGGUAGGGGUGCCUCAUCCAGAAAGUCCUUAAAGAGUAACUGAUGUGAUGUGUGAGGGAUUUACAGGAUGAGAUUGCUGUGGUUAGUGAACAAUUCCUUUCUGAAGUGACAUAAAUAUGUUGUUUGCUGUCAAUUUACCUUGGGAAUUAACUUAUAAGCAUCCAUAACUGACAAGGACCAGUAGGAGACUAAGAGCAGGUUAAGUGUGAGUGGAAAGCUUACCCCCAAAAAAACACAAAAUCACAGGAGUGACUGAUACUGGGUUGAUGGUGAACCAACACUGUUGUCUUCAUAUGCUGACCCAGUGGAUGAUGUGAAAAAUGUUGGUAGUCCAGUCUCAAUGCUAUGGACCAUCUAUUUUUAUCACAGUCAGCCCCCCACAAGUUUUCAGUCUUAGAAGGAGAGCCAGUAAUUCAUUAGCAAAAAUACUACUUCCCCUUGCCCAUCCACAAAGAAAAAGACAACCAAAAUUUGGCUUCUAUGUCAAUUGUUAUUUAUUUCAGUGUCAGAACUAUAACAAUAUUCUCAGACUUUCUUAAUUUUCUGACUUCAGUGAUGUCUGGAAGGCUGCAGAGGUUUUAAAAUCUCAGAAGCUACAAAUCCUUUUUUGUAGAUAAAAUUUCAGUUAAGUC